UACAGAGGGUGCAAGCGUUGUUCGGAAUUAUUGGGCGUAAAGCGCGUGUAGGCGGCGAGGCAAGUCGGGUGUGAAAUCCCUCAGCUUAACUGAGGAAGUGCGCCCGAAACUGCUUGGCUUGAGUACCGGAGAGGAUGGCGGAAUACCCGAAGUAGAGGUGAAAUUCGUAGAUAUCGGGUGGAACACCGGUGGCGAAGGCGGCCAUCUGGACGGAUACUGACGCUGAGACGCGAAAGCGUGGGUAGCAAACAGG
rnacentral:rRNA from 1 species